rnacentral:rRNA from 1 species
GACGAACGCUGGCGGCGUGCUUAACACAUGCAAGUCGAACGGUAAGGCCCUUCGGGGUACACGAGUGGCGAACGGGUGAGUAACACGUGGGUGAUCUGCCCUGCACUUCGGGAUAAGCCUGGGGAACUGGGUCUAAUACCGGAUAGGACUCCGGACUGCAUGGUCUGGGGUGGAAAGCUUUUGCGGUGUGGGAUGGGCCCGCGGCCUAUCAGCUUGUUGGUGGGGUGAUGGCCUACCAAGGCGACGACGGGUAGCCGGCCUGAGAGGGUGACCGGCCACACUGGGACUGAGAUACAGCCCAGACUCCUACGGGAGGCAGCAGUGGGGAAUAUUGCACAAUGGGCGCAAGCCUGAUGCAGCGACGCCGCGUGAGGGAUGACGGCCUUCGGGUUGUAAACCUCUUUCAGCAUCGACGAAGCGAAAGUGACGGUAGGUGCAGAAGAAGGACCGGCCAACUACGUGCCAGCAGCCGCCGUAA